GAUGAACGCUGGCGGCGUGCCUAAUACAUGCAAGUCGAGCGAACAGACGAGGAGCUUGCUCCUCUGACGUUAGCGGCGGACGGGUGAGUAACACGUGGAUAACCUACCUAUAAGACUGGGAUAACGUCGGGAAACCGGAGCUAAUACCGGAUAAUAUAUUGAACCGCAUGGUUCCAUAGUGAAAGACGGUUUUGCUGUCACUUAUAGAUGGCUCCGCGCCGCAUUAGCUAGUUGGUAAGGUAACGGCUUACCAAGGCAACGAUGCGUAGCCGACCUGAGAGGGUGAUCGGCCACACUGGAACUGAGACACGGUCCAGACUCCUACGGGAGGCAGCAGUAGGGAAUCUUCCGCAAUGGGCGAAAGCCUGACGGAGCAACGCCGCGUGAGUGAUGAAGGUCUUCGGAUCGUAAAACUCUGUUAUUAGGGAAGAACAAAUGUGUAAGUAACUAUGCACGUCUUGACGGUACCUAAUCAGAAAGCCACGGCUAACUACGUG
rnacentral:rRNA from 1 species